GUUUGCAGCUUCAGAACAUUGAGCGCAGAGGAGAGGUUUCCUUUCCACAGCCGUGAGGGUCUUCAGCACGCAAGAGGGACCUGCAGCCGAGAGAGAUCCUUCACCUACGCACGAGAGAAGGAGACGGCAGGAGGGCGUUCUGCAUUGGGGAUCUCCAGCGGAGGUGCACGCUCGGGUAAAGGGGAGUGUUUGUUUUGCAGGAACCGCCAUAGGAGACGCUAAGGAGGUGCAAGGGUCACAAGCUUGCCAAGGUGGAAAAUUGUUAGAGCGUCAAGCUUAGAGGAAUUCGGGCCAUCCAUUUGAUGGGAUGAUCAAACGGCUAUGGUGUUUUUAUUUGUUAAGGAGGGGCAUUGUUGUAAUUUGCUUUUUUUUCUUUGGUUGUAAAUUAAACAGCAGGGGCAGGGGUUUUCAUCUUGUGGUUUUGCAGCUUCAGAACAUUGAGCGCAGAGGAGAGGUUUCCCUUCCACAACCGCAAGGGCCUUCAGCGCGCGAGAGGGACUUGCAACCAAGAGAGAUCCUUCACCUGUGCGCAAGAGAAAGAAACGGCAAGAGGGCGUUCGGUGUUGGGGAUCUCCAGCGGAGGUGCACGCUCGGCUAAAGGGGAGGUAAUGCACAGAUCUAAUUUCUUGGGAGAGUUUUUUUUAGGGAAAUUAGGGAGAAGGAUAGGAAGAAGCCUAGAGUUCUUCACAGGUGCGAAGAGAGCGUUUUCUUGGGUCGUUCUUGAACUGAUUUCCAGAGGAGAUUGGUAAGCCAAAAAAGGAUAAAUCUGUGUACAUGCGUUUAUUUUCACCGUAUUUAAUAUAAUAUCUCUAAA